rnacentral:lncRNA from 1 species
ACAUACAGUAUCAGUUCUUCAGUCAUUCAACCCAUAAUUAAUAAAACAGUAAUAUAUGCACUCGAAACUAUGAAAUGAACACAUCAAACCUCAUAAUGCAUUUAAAGCUGUAAAACAGGCCAAAUAACAGUGAAUCAUCAAUCACACUAGACUCGGGCUCCAUUAGCAACCUUAAGCAAUUUCACACAUGCGUUAAUUUAAGAAAUACCGUUUUAUCAUUUUGAACU